GGGAAAACAAAAAGUAGAACUGGCACGGUGGUGCACACCUGUAAUCCCAGCUACCCAGGUGGCUAAAGCAGGAGCAUCCAAAGCUUAAGGCCAGCCUGGGAGACCCUGUCUCAAACUUAAAAGAGCUGGGGGAAUAGCUCAGUGGUAGAGCACCAUGGGUUCCAACCCCAGCACCUCCCCCCACACACACACACAAACUGGGAGGUAGUUCAGAGGUAAAAAGCUAAGGAGAGAAGACAGACUAACUUCUAAGUGCCACACACCCAACACUGCACUGAAACCUUGCUUCCUGAGGUUAAUUUUCACCACUCCAAAAAGCAGGUUGCUGCUUAAACCACACAGCUGUGGAGGAUUCCAGUGAGACCAAAACUGUUCAAUGGUGAUACUGGGGAGUACCUAUUGUCCCCAAUAAUGGGAUAUCAGAAUUAAAUCUAGACUAUUGUACCUUAAGUAGGAGGUCAGUCAUUUGAGCAGAACCUGCUUGCCUUAUUUUAUAAAAGAGGUAUGGGGAGUGAUAUUAGUCAAAUUAUAUUGUUAUAUUGUGUGCAUGUAUGAAUAUGUAAGAAAAACCCCAUCGUUAGGUUCAAAUAUAAUGCACCAAUAAAACAAUGUGGGAGGAAAAAGGUGCUUUGAGGUGGGUGGGACGUAAACCAGAGGUCAGCAAACACCAGCCUCACAGCUAAAUGUGCCCCAUCAGUUUUUAUAUAGCCUGUGAGCUAAGAAUGAUUUUUACAUUUUUAUUUUUUAAAAGAUGGGAUCACUGAGCACAUUGUUACACGCCUAUAAUCCCAGCAAUUCAGGAGCCUGAGGCAGCAGGAUUUCAAAUUCAAGGCCAGCGUCAGCAAUUUACCCAGACCCUGUUUCAAAGUAAAAAACAAGACUGGGCGUUGGUGCUCCUCUAUAAUCCCAGGAGCUAGGGAGGCUGAGACUGAAGGAUUGGAAGUUCAAAACCAGCCUCAGCAACUGCGGCAAGGCACUAAGUAACUCAGUGAGACCCCAUCUCUAAAUAAAAUACAAAGUAGGCCUGGAGAUGUGGCUCAGUGGUCAAGUACCCCUGAGUUCAAUCCCUGGUACCAAAAAAAAGAAAAAAAAAAAACAAGAAGGUAGCCUGGCAUGGUAGCACACGCCUGUAAUCGCAGUGACUCGGGAGGCAGAGGCAGGAGGAUCACGAGUUCAAAGCCAGUAUCAGCAAUUUAGCAAGGUGCUAAGCAACUCAGUGAGACCCUGUCUCUAAUAAAAUACAAAAUAGGGCUGGAAUGUGGCUCAGUGGUUGAGUGCCCCUGAGUUUAAUCCCUG
rnacentral:lncRNA from 1 species